CACGUAGGGUGCGAGCGUUGUCCGGAAUUAUUGGGCGUAAAGAGCUCGUAGGCGGUGUGUCGCGUCGGCCGUGAAAACUGUGGCUUAACUAUGGGCUUGCGGUCGAUACGGGCAUCACUGGAGUUCGGCAGGGGAGACUGGAAUUCCUGGUGUAGCGGUGAAAUGCGCAGAUAUCAGGAGGAACACCGGUGGCGAAGGCGGGUCUCUGGGCCGGUACUGACGCUGAGACGCGAAAGCGUGGGGAGCAAACAGG
rnacentral:rRNA from 1 species